UGGAUAUAGGCAGACAUCCGCUAUCCUAAGCUUGUUUGUCCUUUCGGCCACCGCCAUUUUUGAACAGUGUAUGUGAGGUGAGACGCUCCAGGUGUCCCAGCUUCUUCAGCUCUGUGUCCCUCUGACUAAAGGAACCUAGGGACGACGCUGGGACGCCCGGAAAGCCGGGAAAUGGUGUCUGUGACCUUUGAUGAUGUGCGUGUCAAGUUUACCCUGGAAGAGUGGGCUUUGCUGGAUCCUUCACAACGGAAGCUGUACAGGGAUGUGAUGGUAGAAACCUUCAGGAACCUGGCCUCUGUUGAAAAAUCAGAGGAAGAUCAGACCAUUGAUGGCAUGUAUAAAAAUCCCAGAAGAAACCUAAGAAGACAAGUGGUAGGGAGACUCUGUGAUAAUGAAGGUAUUCCAUGUGGAGACAUCUGCAGCCAUACCUCAGAUCACAUUGUGAACCAUAAUACUCCUACAGGAGUGGAACCAAGUGAAGGCUGUGUGUGUAAAGAAGUCUUCAUCAGACAUUCAUCUCUGAGUCUGCCCUUCAGGACUUACAGUGGACAGAAGCCAGAUGAGGAUCAAGAACAUGGAGAAAAGCCAUUUCAAUGUAAGGAUUGCGGGAAAGCCUUUAUUGCUUCCAGAUUCCUUAGAUGGCAUGAAAGAAAUCACACUGGAGAGACACCCUUUGUAUGUAAGAAGCCUGGCAAAGCCUUGGUUUGUUUGAGUGACCUUCACAAACAUGAGCUAACUAACAGUGGAGAAAAACCCAAUGUUUGUAAGCAAUGUGGGAAGGCCUUAUCUUUGAGUGCUGUUGAAAAACAGGAAAGCACACACAGUGGAGAGAAACCCUGUGUAUGCAAGCAAUGUGGAAAAGCCACUUCCCUUAAAAUACAAAAAAGAAAUCACACUGCAGAGAACCAUUAUGCAUGUAAACAGUGUGACAAAGUCUUCUUUUAUUUAAGUCACGUUCAAGAACAUGAAAGAACUCACACUGGAAAGGAUCCCUAUGUAUGGAAACGAUGUGGGAAAGCAUUCUUCUAUAUUUGUGACCUUCAACACCAUGAAGAAAGUCACACCGGAAAGAAACCCUGUGUAUGUAGACAGUGUGGGAAAGUGUUCUAUUCAUCCGGUGUCCUUCAAAGGCAUGAACAAACUCACAGCAGAGAGAAACCAUAUGUAUGUAAACACUGUGGGAAAACAUUCUUCUAUCUUUUUUACCUUCGAAAUCAUGAACGAACUCACAUUGGAGAGAAACCCUACAUAUGUAAACAAUGUGGGAAAACAUACUGUUCCUCCAGUGACCUUCGAAAACAUGAAAGAACUCACACCUGUGAAAAACCCUAUGUAUGCAAGCAAUGUGGAAAAGCCUUUAGUUCUUCCAGUUGCCUCAAAAUACAUGAAGUAAUUCACACUGGAGAGAAGCCCUUUGCAUGUAAGCAAUGUGGAAAAGCCUUCUUUUAUUUGAAUAACCUUCGAAAACAUGAACGCACUCACAGUGGUGAGAAACCCUAUGUGUGUAAACAAUGUGACAAAGCCUUCUAUUAUUUGAGUCACCUUCGAAAGCAUGAACGAACUCACAGUGGAGAAAAACCAUACAUAUGUAAACAGUGUGGGAAAGCUUUCUGUGAUCUUUCUCAUCUUCGGCAUCAUGAACAAACUCACACUGGACAGAGACCCUAUGUAUGUACUCAAUGUGGAAAAGCCUUUAGUUCCUCCAGUUACCUCAAAACGCAUGAAAGAAUUCACACUGGAGAGAAGCCCUUCGCAUGUAAGCACUGUGGAAAAGCUUUUAGUCUUUCCAUGUCCCUUAAAAGACAUGAACGAAAUCACACUGGAGGGAAACCUUAUGCAUGUAAACAAUGUGGGAAAGCCUUCUAUUCUUCCAGUGACCUUCAAAGACAUGAACGAAUUCAUAGGGGUGAGAAACCCUAUUUGUGUAAGCAGUGUGGAAAAGCCUUAAGUUCAUCCAGUUACCUCAAAAUACAUGAAAGAAAUCACACUGGAGUGAAACCUUACGCAUGCAAGCAAUGUGACAAAGCCUACAUUUAUUUGAGUAACCUUCGAAAUCAUGAACAAACUCACAAUGGUGAGAAACUUUAUAUAUGUAAGCAGUGUGGAAAAGCUUUUAGUUGUUCCAGUUACCUCAAAAUACAUGAAGGAAUUCACACUGGAGGGAAGACCUUUACAUGUGAGCACUGUGGAAAAACCUUUAGUUCAUCCAGUGUCUUUAGUAAUACCUACUCAAUGAGAACAGAAAUGCCUCAAGGAAUUAAUGGAUGCCCGGAAACUUUGAAAGUACCACAGGAAAACACAGGAAAUCCCUUGAAGGUAUGGGCACAGGCUACAACUUUUGAAAAGGACUCCAAUAGCUCAGGUAAUAAGAGCAAGAAUUGACAAAUGGGAUUGCAUCUGAUUAAAAAGGGAAAAAAAGCUUGUGGCAUUUCUUGGUUGACUGUGAUUCAGCUGUAAAAAUGAUUGCACACAAAAUAUGUAAUUUCCCUCACCACAGAGAUCCUGGUGACAACCAUUAAUUGGAGAGGAGAGAGGAAAACAGAGAUAGUUCACAUUGAUUUACUCCUGUUGCAUGGCAUGUGUUCACAUGAAGUGAACAGUGUGCUGGAAUCGUCCCAAUCUGAAGGAUUGCUUAUGUGGCAGUUUAAAAUCCAUAUAAAGUGUCUUGGGAUCUUCCUUAUCUACAUUAUAAGUCAAUGUGCAAUGGAAGCGGGAACUCUCAUGGUGUCUAAUUCAAAGAUUUGGAUUCAGCAUCAUUGUCUCAUUUACCUCCUCAAUGUUGGAGUGACACUACUCAGUAACCAAGAGGGAGCAGAGUGUGGAGGUCCUCUUCCUGUUCCAGUGGGCCUAUCCUGUCCUAGGCACUCACCUUCUCUGUAAUUCUGGAAUGUCUCCUGGGACACUGUGUGUGGAAUGUCAUAAGGAUAUUGUGAUCCCAUUUUGAGAAGGAGGAGAAGCACUGAGGAUGGUAAGAAGCAGGUGCCUACUCUGGAGAUCCAGGACAAGUUCUGCUAAAUGAAUUCAUCGUGCAGCUGGCCCAUGUCCCCAGUGUCGGAAGACCGAGCUGGGAAGGACUGUGAGCAAAAUUUGAGAUUUUGGUUCCCCUCAGCCAAGUAGGGGAUGCUUAUCCCAUGCUCAGGCUUUACGUUCAUGUCCUGGAACUUUGUCAAAUCAUGAUCAUUGUUCUUUGGUAAGAAAAUGUCCAAUCAGGAGUGAGCAUUUUUGUGGUUAUUGGCUGAGAAUCACAUGACAUCCUUGUGUCUGUGGUGAGUCGCCUCAGGUGUCCUAGCCUUGGCAGCUCUGUGUUCCCGAGUGCAAGAGCUUAGACACAACGCCACGCUCCUGGGAAGCCAGGAAAUGGAGAGAUUUCAGCUGGUGUCCUGGAGCACCAGUGGCAUAUGCAGCCUCCCAUAUGGCCCCAGUGCAUGGUCCAGGUCUGCUAGGUCCUCCUUCCUCUGGGCCACAGGGUGGAGUUUGUCUAGAGCCAGGACAGGUGUCCAUCCACUUUGUGAUAUGAGCAGCUUCCUUGGCUGCCUGGAGCCCUAUGGGAAGCUUGACUCUGAAUAUCCCCAAAGGCAUGGCACCUGUAGUCACAGGUGGCUCCUGCCUUAUGCGGAACUUGUGCACAGAGGGAGGAUAGGCACUAGGGGUUGGGAUCCCUGAGAAUAUCAUGCUCAGUGCUACACACACACACCAAUUUUCCUGAGUCUUCAGCAUCAGGCAGGGGCCAUUUAAACUUCAUGACCUGUCCCCAGGCCAUGUUUCUGAUCUGGCCAUACACCUGGAGUCCCAGGUCUUCCCCAUGAAGCCCAAUGCCCAGGAAAGAGCAGUCCCUGUGCUCAGUGGCUGGAAAUGGAGGUGAGAGAAUUUCAACAUCACAGUUCCCCACUGUUUCUACAUCUGAUUUUACAAAGGAGAAACUGAUGAAGUGAUAGGAACUCCUAUUUGAAUAGAGUGUGGCAGAAGGAAAGGCCACACUUGAGGACAGAUGCUAUGUCCUCAAGUCCUCUAGGGUGAGGAAGAGGAGUUCUUUGCUUUCCAGGGAGUAGCAAACAGGAAUAGAAAGAAGGUGGGAGGAGGAGGGCAUCAGAUUCUGGACCAGAGGACUUUGAACCCCAAGGUCAGCAUAAAGGACAAGUUGUGAAAUGCCUGAACCUAAAGUAGGACUGGAGGAAGGAGAAAAUUUGGCUGUUUGAUUCUCAAGUCUUGAUUCUUGUCAGGAUUCAAAACUUGGGAAUUAGGAAAGUAUGUAUGUUGUUGUGUUAAAAAAAAAAAAAAAGGUUUGGCUCCCAGAAAUCAAGGCGAGAAGUGCAUUUGAACUUCUUUAAUCACAUGUAAUCAGGUAUAAUUUGUGACAAUUGGGACAGUGAGAGAGAAGAUGCUUUUGGAUCCUUAACAAUGCAAAUGGAGAAAAGGCUUUGUGUAUUUGACCAUUGAUGUGUGCGUGCAGUAUCAUCAACAUGUGUUCUUUGUCCCACUUUCAGGCACAGAGAUCUAGUCAUCUGGAGUUUCUUGGUAAGAGGGGCAUCUAUAGUUAUUUUUUUUCCAGUACUAGAGAUUGAACUCAGGGCCUACAUCUUGAGCCACUCCACCAGCCAUCUUUUUGUGAUGGAUCUUGUGAACUAUUUUCCCACGAUGGCUUCAAGCCAUGAUUGUCCAGAUCUCUGCCUCCUGAGUAGCUAGGAUUACAGGCAUGAGCCACUGGAGCCUGGCUGUAGUCAUUCUUAGUAAAUUCCUAUCAGACCGUAUCUGAAUCUUUACUGAUGAGCAAGAGUGAUGUCUCACCCUCGGUUUACCAUGCGCUUAACCUUCUGAAUGUGCAGUCCUCUGGGAAAUGUGACCAAAUGUAUGGCUUCUUCUCUUUGUUUUCUUUGUCCACGUUUUUUGUGGUACUGGGGCUUGAACUCAGGGAUUACACCUUGAGCCUAUCCACCAGGACUUUUUUGUGAUGGGUUUUUUUGAGAUAGGAUCUUGAGAACUAUUUGCCCAGGCUGGCUUCAAACCUUAAUCCUCCUAAUCUCUGCUUCCUGAGUAGCUGGGAUUACAGGCAUGGAUGGAAGUAGAGAUGAUGUUAACUGGUCACAAAUCUCUGGUGUGUCACCUCUGCAAUCCUAGCUGCUCAGGAGGCAGAGAUCAGGAGAAUCACAGUUUGAAGCCAGACUGGGCAAAGAGUUCGGGAGUC